rnacentral:pre_miRNA from 1 species
AUAUGAAACGCCAAGGGAUCUUGUUAAAAUGCAGAUUCUGAUUCCACAGAGCUAAGGAAAGGCCCAAGAGUCUAAAUUUCUAACAAGCUCCCUGGUGACGCCUGU